ensembl:lncRNA
UGCAAAUGGGACUAUUUCAUUCUUUUUAUGGCUGAAUAAUAUUCCAUUAUGUGAAAUAUUUUUUUAACCCAGUCAUCUGUUGAUGGCAUUUGGGUUGCUUCCAUGUCUUGGCUAUUGUAAGUAGUGCUGCUAUGAACAUUGGAGUGCAUGUAUCAUUUCAAAUUUUUCAUUUUUUCCAGAUAUAUACCCAGGAGUGGAAUAGCUGGAUCAUAAGAAAAGAAAACUAACUCUUGGAGAAGUUAACUUGCCCAUGUAAUUUUAAGUGGAAAAUUCUGACACUCCAGAGAAAGACUGCCAACGACUGCCCUGUCUCUAUAAUCAUAGAAUUAGCUGAUACAGGAGAAAGGGAGGUGUACAAACAGAUUAUAAUACAUCACUGCUCUUUCAAUCCUGACAAAAAAGUCAAGUAUCCAACCCAAAAGUAUGGAGCCAACAGCACUUCUAUAAAAGCCAAAGAAACCAAUGCAAUGGAGCUGUAUGUUCAACCUUCAAGGAACUAACAGGGAAUAUAUUCCAAGACGCCCACUGGAUUCCUGAAACCACAGAUAGUACCAAGUUCUACAUAUACACGAUAUUUUUUUUCCUCUACAUACCUAUGAUAAAGUUUAAUGUAUGAAUAAGGCACAUUAAGACUUGUUCACUCAGUCGUGUCCGACUUUGCG